AAUGAACGCUGGCGGCGUGCCUAACACAUGCAAGUCGAACGAGAAACCAGCAAUGGUAAGUACAGUGGCGCACGGGUGAGUAAUACAUAGGAAUCUGCCUCUGAGUGGAGAAUACCCUAGAGAAAUUUAGGUUAAUACUGCAUAAGCCCAGAAAUGGGGAAAGGUGGCCUCAAGCUGCCGCUGAGAGAUGAGCCUAUGGCCUAUUAGCUAGUUGGUGGGGUAAAAGCCUACCAAGGCGAAGAUGGGUAGCCGGCCUGAGAGGGUGUACGGCCACACUGGAACUGAGACACGGUCCAGACUCCUACGGGAGGCUG
rnacentral:rRNA from 1 species